CCGUUCUUGUAAACAAUUUGAAAAGAAAAGUGAAAGAACUGUGGUUUUAGAUCUCUCAAACAGUUGCUUUCUUGUUUUGGAGUAUGGUUAGGUGAAUUGCUGCUGGUUACAUUAUAUCCCUGUUUUCGUGGACCCCUUUGAAUGUGGAGCCAAGGUCGGACGUGAUUGAACGGUAAGCCAUCGUUCGUGCUAGAAGUGUACCAUGAAUGCAGGAAGAUGAGUUUUCAUCCAUUGAUGCAGCAAAGAUAGAUUAUACAUGUUGACAGCUUCUCAAUUCCCAGCUUCAACUCAAAGCCAAAUGUGACAAAGCAAACCACCAUCUCUUUCAACCACUGCCCCCACUCCAACAUAAAAGAAAAAAAGAAUAAGAAUCUGUUGAAAUGCCAUUUUCACUAUUCAAUGAUUUGGUGAGUUUGGGUAGGUGCCUUAAAUACGAAAGAAAAUGGCCUAUUUUGAUCCAUCUAUCUUUCAUCUUGUCUCAAAUCAAUGGUAUGAUAUUGUUCAUCAACCGAUGCGGCUUUAUUCUUGGAACCCGACACGUUUAUCAUGUCAUUGGGUUUGCUUGGAAGUAUAGACUUAACUUUUUUUAUUUUUUAUUUUUUGUUAAAUAGGAGAAAUUUUAAUUUAUAUGCCUUUCAUUUUGUGUGAAGGAAAGUAAGAAUUGACUUGCCCUGUACUUGAUGCCCAUUUCUUUGUUGGAAUGGAACAACUCUCUUUAGCU